rnacentral:tRNA from 1 species
GCCCCCUUAGCUCAGUGGUAGAGCAGCUCACUCGUAAUGAGCAGGUCGUCGGUUCGAUUCCGACAGGGGGCU